rnacentral:rRNA from 1 species
UACGAAGGGUGCAAACGUUGCUCGGAAUUAUUGGGCGUAAAGCGCACGUAGGCGGCUUAGCAAGUCGGAAGUGAAAGCCCUCGGCUCAACCAAGGAAGUGCUUUCGAAACUGCUGAGCUUGAGUACUUAAGAGGAUCGCGGAAUUCCCGGUGUAGAGGUGAAAUUCGUAGAUAUCAAGAGGAACACCAGUGGCGAAGGCGAGUCCCUGGACGGUACCUGACACUGAGGCACGAAAAGCUAGGGGGAGCAAACAGGG